rnacentral:rRNA from 1 species
UACAGAGGGUGCGAGCGUUGUCCGGAAUCACUGGGCGUAAAGGGCGCGUAGGUGGCCUGAUAAGUCGGGGGUGAAACGCUGCGGCUCAACCGCAGCACUGCCUUCGAGACUGUCAGGCUUGAGCACGGUAGAGGCUGGUGGAAUUCCCGGUGUAGCGGUGGAAUGCGUAGAGAUCGGGAAGAACAUCGGUGGCGAAGGCGGCCAGCUGGGCCGUUGCUGACACUGAGGCGCGACAGCGUGGGGAGCAAACAGG